AUUGAACGCUGGCGGCAUGCUUUACACAUGCAAGUCGAACGGUAACAGGCCGCAAGGUGCUGACGAGUGGCGAACGGGUGAGUAAUGCAUCGGAACGUGCCCAGUCGUGGGGGAUAACGCAGCGAAGGCUGCGCUAAUACCGCAUACGAUCUAUGGAUGAAAGCGGGGGACCGUAAGGCCUCGCGCGAUUGGAGCGGCCGAUGUCAGAUUAGGUAGUUGGUGGGGUAAAGGCUCACCAAGCCAACGAUCUGUAGCUGGUCUGAGAGGACGACCAGCCACACUGGGACUGAGACACGGCCCAGACUCCUACGGGAGGCAGCAGUGGGGAAUUUUGGACAAUGGGCGCAAGCCUGAUCCAGCAAUGCCGCGUGCAGGAAGAAGGCCUUCGGGUUGUAAACUACUUUUGUACGGAACGAAACGGUCCUGGUUAAUACCUGGGGCUAAUGACGGUACCGUAAGAAUAAGCACCGGCUAACUACGUGCCAGCCGCCGCCGUAAAAC
rnacentral:rRNA from 1 species